rnacentral:lncRNA from 1 species
AUUCCCUCCCAAAUCAAACAGAAAGUCUCCCACCCUUGUCCAGGGACCAUCGUUGGUGGACAGCGCCAUGACCACAGCCUCUGUCAGCCGCGCCCCCACCCCCACCCCCACCCCCGCACCGUGGCCCCUGACGCGGAGGGCACACAGGCGUCUGUCACACUUCAGCAUUGUUUUCCUGCCUAUGCUUUCGAUCGCUGGUUUUAUUCCAACCCAUUCUCACUUUCUGUCUUGGAAAAUCACAAGGAAACUCCACGCUACUCCUGGAAUCCUUGCCAACGUGACUCAAGCGGAAUUGAGCACACGGCACUGGGUUCGCGCACAAACAAAGAUGUUGCUACUUUCGGCUCAGCGGCCUCCUUCCCGACAGCUUGGCUCCUCCCACCCUCGCCCAGCUCAGCCCCGCCUGACGCCCCACUCAGCUCACUGCGAUUUCUACAUCCUGGCCUCUUCCCUGUUUCCUACUAUCUUGUGCCUGGGGAACUGAAUGGUCAAGGCCACUGCUCAUCUGGGCCCUGCAGGGCCAGCCUGGAUCUUGCUACAACUCCAAAGGCCUUGAAGAGGACUUCAUGGGCCCUGUGCGCCAUCACUGAGCUGCCUUGUUGGAUUUGGGUCCCACCGCCUACCAUUUAUUCCUCUGAGCAGCCUACGAGUACCAUCUGCCCUUCUAGACUUGGCUUCCUAAAACAGUUCAUCCACGCUGUUACUUCUGGGCUCCUGCUUCUCCGGAAUAAUAUUAACCACCGUCCGGCAGCCAGCGCGCCUCUCCCUCGCCUCAUGAGGGGUGAUGUUCUGAGCCUUUACCCGCACGGACUCUUCAGCUCUCCCGCAUCUCGGGUUUAGAGCUCAGGACCCAAAGCUCACGGCUUCCGGGUCUCGGCCCCACUGUUUCAGCUCACCCCGCUCGCAGCGCCUGCCCGGGGCACGGCCAGCCCGUGGGUUUCCAGCGCACCCCAGGGCCCUGCUCUCUCCCUGUGCCCUUGGCUUCUUGUAUGAAUGAGGCAGGGUUCCCAGGACCGAGGUUUAUCACGGGGGUUGGCCCGUGUGAUUAUGCGGGCUCUAAGAUCUCGCGACACCCGCUGGGGAACCAGAAG